rnacentral:rRNA from 1 species
UGCGGGUAACCCGGGAUUUUUGGGCGUAAAGCGCUCGCAGGCGGUCUUUUAAGUCUGAUGUGAAAGCCCACGGCUCAACCGUGGAGGGUCAUUGGAAACUGGGAGACUUGAGUGCAGAAGAGGAGAGUGGAAUUCCACGUGUAGCGGUGAAAUGCGUAGAGAUGUGGAGGAACACCAGUGGCGAAGGCGACUCUCUGGUCUGUAACUGACGCUGAGGAGCGAAAGCGUGGGGAGCGAACAGGAUUAGAUACCCUGGUAGUCCACGCCGUAAACGAUGAGUGCUAAGUGUUAGAGGGUUUCCGCCCUUUAGUGCUGCAGCAAACGCAUUAAGCACUCCGCCUGGGGAAUACGGUCGCAAGACUGAAACUCAAAGGAAUUGACGGGGGCCCGCACAAGCGGUGGAGCAUGUGGUUUAAUUCGAAGCAACGCGAAGAACCUUACCAGGUCUUGACAUCCUUAUGCCUUCCCUAGAGAUAGGGCUUUCCCUUCGGGGACAUAAGUGACAGGUGGUGCAUGGUUGUCGUCAGCUCGUGUCGUGAGAUGUUGGGUUAAGUCCCGCAACGAGCGCAACCCUUGACCUUAGUUGCCAGCAUUCAGUUGGGCACUCUAAGGUGACUGCCGGUGACAAACCGGAGGAAGGUGGGGAUGACGUCAAAUCAUCAUGCCCCUUAUGACCUGGGGCUACACACGUGCCUACAAUGGAUGGUAC